rnacentral:rRNA from 1 species
ACAAUGAAGAGUUUGAUCCUGGCUCAGGAUGAACGCUAGCUACAGGCUUAACACAUGCAAGUCGAGGGGCAUCAGGAAGAAAGCUUGCUUUCUUUGCUGGCGACCGGCGCACGGGUGAGUAACACGUAUCCAACCUGCCCUUUACUCGGGGAUAGCCUUUCGAAAGAAAGAUUAAUACCCGAUAGCAUAAUGAUUCCGCAUGGUUUCAUUAUUAAAGGAUUCCGGUAAAGGAUGGGGAUGCGUUCCAUUAGGUUGUUGGUGGGGUAACGGCCCACCAAGCCUUCGAUGGAUAGGGGUUCUGAGAGGAAGGUCCCCCACAUUGGAACUGAGACACGGUCCAAACUCCUACGGGAGGCAGCAGUGAGGAAUAUUGGUCAAUGGGCGCUAGCCUGAACCAGCCAAGUAGCGUGAAGGAUGAAGGCUCUAUGGGUCGUAAACUUCUUUUAUAUAAGAAUAAAGUGCAGUAUGUAUACUGUUUUGUAUGUAUUAUAUGAAUAAGGAUCGGCUAACUCCGUGCCAGCAGCCGCGGUAAUACGGAGGAUCCGAGCGUUAUCCGGAUUUAUUGGGUUUAAAGGGAGCGUAGGUGGACUGGUAAGUCAGUUGUGAAAGUUUGCGGCUCAACCGUAAAAUUGCAGUUGAUACUGUCAGUCUUGAGUACAGUAGAGGUGGGCGGAAUUCGUGGUGUAGCGGUGAAAUGCUUAGAUAUCACGAAGAACUCCGAUUGCGAAGGCAGCUCACUGGACUGCAACUGACACUGAUGCUCGAAAGUGUGGGUAUCAAACAGGAUUAGAUACCCUGGUAGUCCACACAGUAAACGAUGAAUACUCGCUGUUUGCGAUAUACAGUAAGCGGCCAAGCGAAAGCAUUAAGUAUUCCACCUGGGGAGUACGCCGGCAACGGUGAAACUCAAAGGAAUUGACGGGGGCCCGCACAAGCGGAGGAACAUGUGGUUUAAUUCGAUGAUACGCGAGGAACCUUACCCGGGCUUAAAUUGCAGUGGAAUGAUGUGGAAACAUGUCAGUGAGCAAUCACCGCUGUGAAGGUGCUGCAUGGUUGUCGUCAGCUCGUGCCGUGAGGUGUCGGCUUAAGUGCCAUAACGAGCGCAACCCUUAUCUUCAGUUACUAACAGGUCAUGCUGAGGACUCUGGAGAGACUGCCGUCGUAAGAUGUGAGGAAGGUGGGGAUGACGUCAAAUCAGCACGGCCCUUACGUCCGGGGCUACACACGUGUUACAAUGGGGGGUACAGAAGGCAGCUAGCGGGUGACCGUAUGCUAAUCCCAAAAGCCUCUCUCAGUUCGGAUCGAAGUCUGCAACCCGACUUCGUGAAGCUGGAUUCGCUAGUAAUCGCGCAUCAGCCACGGCGCGGUGAAUACGUUCCCGGGCCUUGUACACACCGCCCGUCAAGCCAUGGGAGCCGGGGGUACCUGAAGUACGUAACCGCAAGGAUCGUCCUAGGGUAAAACUGGUGACUGGGGCUAAGUCGUAACAAGGUAGCCGUACCGGAAGGUGCGGCUGGAACACCUCCUUU